AUGCAUCUUGGAAACAGUAGUCAGUUAACAGCAACAGCGUUCAAUCCGCUUUAUGAAAAGGACUACCUUUCCCAUAAUGCUACAGCUUACAAGAGGACCCGGAAGUCGCAUGAAAUUCAAACUGCCACACUUGACGACGCGUGAUCUUUGUUUUGUCUUUAUAUAAUACUGUAAGAAGUCAUGUACCACACAUUGUCAAACCUGAAGAAGUGUAUCUUCCUGCAAUCUGGGCUCCAGACCUGGAGAUUGAAGUUCCUAAAGGUUGAUGUUUAUCAAGCUUGUGACCUUAUUGCAUGGUGUUAUUUUUUACAUUUAUAUAUCUAAUACACAUUUGCACAUCUGUAAACAUAAAUUAAAUAUUUU